rnacentral:lncRNA from 1 species
ACAUCAAAUUCAGUAUAAAAAUCCCCAUGCUCGUCCGAUCAGCACACAGCGGAUGGUGGAAACAAACACCAGCCCAAAGCAAGACUGAAGACUAUACCUACAUCUACAACAGUCGAAGCGUCUCUGAGAGAGAUGAAGGUGAAGAUGUUGGCCGUGUUGGCUCUGGUUCUUCUGCUCUCCAGUGCGAGUGAGGGACGGAUUCUCAGUAAAUGUGAGCUGAAAUCCCAACUCGAGGCGGCACUGGGGAGAAAUCAGGGAGGAAAUGGGCCUGCAACUGUCACGAAUGGGCCUGGAAGUGUGACUGGGCCUGGAAACGUGACUGUGCCUGGAAAUGUAACUGUGCCUGGAAACGUAACUGUGCCUGGAAACGUAACUGUGCCUGGAAACGUGACUGUGCCUGGAAAUACAACUGCAAAUUCGCUCAUCGCCCAAAUCGUUUGUUCUGUGGAGCGUGUGUCGAAGUUCGACACCAGCCUGGUCACCACCAUCCAAGAAGACCCCAGACCUCCAGUGAGACCCCCUCUCAGACCACAACAACGACCCAAUGAAAGACCAGGGGGAAGACCUGGUCGUCCAGGAGGAAGACCUGGUCGUCCCGGCGGAAGGGGAAAAAGAUCCCAUGUUGCGGCACUCAGGCGGCCAGCUGGAUUUUCUGACGACAGUUCCGAGAGUUCCGAGAGUUCCGAGAGUUCCGAGAGUUCCGAGAGUUCCGAGGAGAAUGUCACUGCAAGGCCUGGUCUCACCACAAAACUGUUUGGAAUCUUCCAGCUGAGCGACGGUGUGGCCUGCAAUUCCGGAUCCGGCCAGAGUCUAAACAUCUGCCGCAUGAACUGCAGAGCUCUGGCUGAUGAUGACAUCAGGGAUGACAUCACGUGCCUGAAGACCCUGCUGAACAGCACAAGAAAUGCCGCUGUUUCAGCCUUCGCUUCUCCACCGAAUAAAACGCCACUUGUAAUUCUCUCUGUGAACGAGUGCCGCAACGUCAAUCCUGCGCAGUACUUUGUUGAGUGUCCCUGAAACAUUCAGCAUUUCUUCAGGCAUGAAUAUUCUGUCAGAUUUCAUCCCAACUCAUUAUUGUAAUAAACCCAACAGGAACUCAGUUCUCAGACCCUUGUAUUUCACUCUUCCAUUUUCUGCCAUACUGUACCUGUAAAAUGUUCUCAGAAUAGCCUCAAUUAUGCUGCAUGUACUAUAGCAUACCUCAGAAUGCAAAUAAACAAAUAUAAAAAAAAAUACACUUGUCUAAGUCUGUCUUUACAAUA